rnacentral:rRNA from 1 species
AACGAACGCUGGCGGCAGGCUUAACACAUGCAAGUCGAACGCCCCGCAAGGGGAGUGGCAGACGGGUGAGUAACGCGUGGGAAUCUACCCAGUUCUACGGAACAACUGAGGGAAACUUCAGCUAAUACCGUAUACGCCCUAUGGGGGAAAGAUUUAUCGGAAUUGGAUGAGCCCGCGUUAGAUUAGCUAGUUGGGGGGGUAUGGCCUACCAAGGCGACGAUCUAUAGCUGGUCUGAGAGGAUGAUCAGCCACACGGGGACUGAGACACGGCCCAGACUCCUACGGGAGGCAGCAGUGGGAAAUAUUGGACAAUGGGCGCAACCCUGAUCCAGCCAUGCAGCGUGAGUGAUGAAGGCCUUAGGGUUGUAAAGCUCUUUCAGUGGGGACGAUAAUGACGGUACCCACAGAAGAAGCCCCGGCUAACUUCGUGCCAGCAGCCGCGGUAAGAC